GAUGAACGCUAGCGGCAGGCCUAAUACAUGCAAGUCGAGGGGCAGCAGGAAUAGCGAUAUUUGCUGGCGGCCGGCGCACGGGUGCGUAACACGUAUACAAUCUGCCUUCUACAGGGGGAUAGCCUUUCGAAAGAGAGAUUAAUACCCCAUAACACAAGAAAUAGCAUUCUUUUUUGUUGAAAUAUCCGUCGGGAGAAGAUGAGGAUGCGGGUGAUUAGCUAGUUGGUUAGGGCACGGCUAACCAAGGCAACGAUCACUAGGGGAUCUGAUAGGACUACCCCCCACACUGGUACUGAGACACGGACCAGACUCCUACGGGAGGCAGCAGUAAGGAAUAUUGGACAAUGGAGGCAACUCUGAUCCAGCCAUGCCGCGUGCAGGAUGAAGGCCCUAUGGGUCGUAAACUGCUUUUGUACGAGAGAAAACCUAUUCACGUGUAGAUAGUUGAUAGUAUCGUAAGAAUAAGGAUCGGCUAACUUCGUGCCAGCCGCCGCAGUAAUAC
rnacentral:rRNA from 1 species